AGGGAGUCCCGAUAGCGGUAAGAGUUGCGGGAGAAUCUGACUGGGAAGAGCGAUGGUAACCAUGGCGAAAAUCAGUGUGGUCAGGAGUGGGAAAGCCAGGUACAGCAAGCUAGAUACCGAAGCAAACGGGUGCAAAUCUUUUCGGGUUAUGCACAAAUGGGAGUUGCAGGCGCUGCAGCCUUGAGUGAGACAAAGAGCGGCUAUCACUCCCACGGAGAAAACCCCAGAUCCUGCAGCACGAGGCACCUCGGAUUGAUGGUGCGGAUGGCAGCCUCAUGCAACAGCAGCAGCAGCAAGAUAUGCAAGCUUCAGAAGCAGAAGCCUUCUUUGUUCCAUUUCUAAGAGAAAAUUACUGUUGCUCCUUCUUAAUAGAAGCUUCUCAAUAGAAUUUAUUAUAAAC
rnacentral:lncRNA from 1 species